UACAGAGGGGGCAAGCGUUGUUCGGAAUUACUGGGCGUAAAGGGCGCGUAGGCGGCCUGCUAAGUCGAACGUGAAAUCCCUGGGCUCAACCCAGGAACUGCGUCCGAUACUGGUGGGCUCGAAUCCGGGAGAGGGAUGUGGAAUUCCAGGUGUAGCGGUGAAAUGCGUAGAUAUCUGGAGGAACACCGGUGGCGAAGGCGGCAUCCUGGACCGGUAUUGACGCUGAUGCGCGAAAGCCAGGGGAGCAAACGGG
rnacentral:rRNA from 1 species